rnacentral:rRNA from 1 species
UACGUAGGGCGCAAGCGUUGUCCGGAAUUAUUGGGCGUAAAGAGCUCGUAGGCGGUCUGUCGCGUCGGCUGUGAAAACUCGGGGCUCAACUCCGAGCUUGCAGUCGAUACGGGCAGGCUAGAGUUCGGCAGGGGAGACUGGAAUUCCUGGUGUAGCGGUGAAAUGCGCAGAUAUCAGGAGGAACACCGGUGGCGAAGGCGGGUCUCUGGGCCGAUACUGACGUGGAGGAGCGAAAGCCGUGGGGAGCGAACAGGA